rnacentral:lncRNA from 1 species
UGGGAGUAUAAUAACCAACUCUGAUACGAGUUACGUUUGUAAAUAUUCGUUUUCGUUUAAAGUUAGAGAUAGAUCCUAGUCGGUUAGGAAAUCAGUUGUAACAGGCUAUAAAUAGCCAUCUUUAGAGAUUUGUAAACAACACAUCAAUCAAUACAAACAAUCUACUUUUUCAUCGUACUUUACUUUCAAGUCGGCGACUUCGCCAAUACAUCUUUUUCUUUCACGAGUUCAUAUGGGUUGGCAGGGCUGCAUCGACACGAUCUCCGGCCGAUUCUGUAAGUUCUGUCUAUCGAGUAAUAUCUAAGCUUCAACUUUGGGCGCAUCGCUAUCAUUUUG